AAUGAACGCUGGCGGCAUGCCUAACACAUGCAAGUCGAACGAAGGCUUCGGCCUUAGUGGCGCACGGGUGCGUAACGCGUGGGAAUCUGCCCUCAGGUUCGGAAUAACAGCGAGAAAUUGCUGCUAAUACCGGAUGAUAUCGCGAGAUCAAAGAUUUAUCGCCUGAGGAUGAGCCCGCGUAGGAUUAGCUAGUUGGUGUGGUAAAGGCGCACCAAGGCGACGAUCCUUAGCUGGUCUGAGAGGAUGAUCAGCCACACUGGGACUGAGACACGGCCCAGACUCCUACGGGAGGAAGCAGUGGGGAAUAUUGGACAAUGGGCGAAAGCCUGAUCCAGCAAUGCCGCGGGAGUGAUGAAGGCCUUAGGGUUGUAAAGCUCUUUUACCCGGGAUGAUAAUGACAGUACCGGGAGAAUAAGCUCCGGCUAACUCCGUGCCAGCAGCCGCGGUAA
rnacentral:rRNA from 1 species